AUACGGAGGAUGCGAGCGUUAUCCGGAUUUAUUGGGUUUAAAGGGAGCGUAGGUGGGAUAUUAAGUCAGCUGUGAAAGUUUGGGGCUCAACCUUAAAAUUGCAGUUGAUACUGGUUUCCUUGAGUACGGUACAGGUGGGCGGAAUUCGUGGUGUAGCGGUGAAAUGCUUAGAUAUCACAAAGAACUCCGAUCCCAAAGGCAGCUCACCGGGCCGGAACUGACACUGAUGCUCGAAAGUGCGGGUAUCAAACAGGAUUAGAUACCCUGGUAGUCCGCACAGUAAACGAUGAAUACUCGCUGUUUGCGAUACACUGUAAGCGGCCAAGCGAAAGCGUUAAGUAUUCCGCCUGGGGAGUACGCCGGCAACGGUGAAACUCAAAUGAAUUGACGGGG
rnacentral:rRNA from 1 species